UUCAGAGACUCUGGGGCCUGUGCUGAA
rnacentral:piRNA from 1 species